rnacentral:lncRNA from 1 species
AUGCUCAUCUUCCUCAAGGUGUGCAUGUUGGUGAGGAAACUGUUGUUUUGGAGUCAUUCACUACUGGAUGAAAGAAAUUUGGAAGUAAGUCAAGAGAGAACAAAAUAUGAUUUGAUAGAAGGAAGUGAAGUUGUUUGCUUUAUUAACAUCACUUUACCAGGUGCAGAGUCUUUUGGCCUUCCUAAAGUACUGAAAUAUAUUCCUUAUAAAAGGACACUAAGUAAUUUAAAGCUCUCUGUCUCAGAACUAUUGAUUUAUUGAUGUUUUGGUUGUAGUAAAAUAUACAUAACAUAAAAUUUACCACAUAAACUAUUUUUAAACAUAUAGUUUAUUGGCAUUAAGUACACUCACAUUAUUGUACAACAAUCGUCACCAUCAAUCUCCAGAGCUUUUUCACUGCAGA